CUCAGUGACUUGGAUUUUUCAAGUCUCCAAACGAGAAGUUUUCCUCACUCGGGAAAUUAAGGGAGCAUUACCUCAACCUACAUGCUUCACUCACAAAGUUUCAACAUAUAAGCUUCAACAAAAGGAAAAAUUCAAAGAACUUAGUGAAGAAGGCCUUGGUGUAUUUAACACAAUACGUUGAAAUGAAGCAUAGCUUGUUUAUUGAUAUCUCCGAUAAGUUACAAAUAUGUACAUAUACAUGAAUCAAAAAUAACAAACAAGAGGGAGCCAUUCACAAAGGUUGCUCAGGAGAAGUCUCAGCAGUCGGCAGAGCCCCAGAAAGAGGAGGCACCAGAGGGUGAUUAUUCGGAGCCUCAGUACUAGGCAGAACCCCAGAAAGAGGAGGCACCAAAGGUUGAUCAUUUGGAGCUUCAUUACGCGGUACAGCCCCAGAAGACGAAGGCAAUAAAUGCCUUUGGAACAAACCCAUAAAUCUCUGAUGAUCAAGUAAAAUCUGACCAUCAGAUUCCUGCA
rnacentral:lncRNA from 1 species